AGCGAACGCUGGCGGCAGGCCUAACACAUGCAAGUCGAACGCAUCGCAAGAUGAGUGGCAGACGGGUGAGUAACGCGUGGGAACCUUCCCAGUGGUGCGGAAUAGCUCAGGGAAACUUGAGGUAAUACCGCAUGAGCCCGCAAGGGGAAAGAUUUAUCGCCAUUGGAUGGGCCCGCGUCGGAUUAGCUAGUUGGUGAGGUAACGGCUCACCAAGGCGACGAUCCGUAGCUGGUUUGAGAGAAUGACCAGCCACACUGGGACUGAGACACGGCCCAGACUCCUACGGGAGGCAGCAGUGGGGAAUAUUGGACAAUGGGCGCAAGCCUGAUCCAGCCAUGCCGCGUGAGUGACGAAGGCCUUAGGGUUGUAAAGCUCUUUUGGCGGGGACGAUAAUGACGGUACCCGCAGAAUAAGCCCCGGCUAACUUCGUG
rnacentral:rRNA from 1 species